rnacentral:rRNA from 1 species
AUUGAACGCUGGCGGCAGGCCUAACACAUGCAAGUCGAGCGGAUGAAGGGAGCUUGCUCCUGGAUUCAGCGGCGGACGGGUGAGUAAUGCCUAGGAAUCUGCCUGGUAGUGGGGGAUAACGUCCGGAAACGGGCGCUAAUACCGCAUACGUCCUGAGGGAGAAAGUGGGGGAUGUUCGGACAUCAUGCUAUCAUAUGAGCCUAGGUCGGAUUAGCUAGUUGGUGGGGUAAAGGCUUACCAAGGCGACGUUCCGUAACUGGUCUGAGAGGAUGAUCAGCCACACUGGAGCUGAGACACGGUCCAGGCUCCUACGGGAGGCAGCAGUGGGGAAUGUUGGACAGUGGGCGAGAGCCUGGUCCAACCGUGCCGCGUGUGUGAAGAAGGUCUUCGGAUUGUAAAGCACUUUAAGUUGGGAGAAAGGGCAGUAAGUUAAUACCUUGCUGUUUUGACGUUACCGACAGAAUAAGCACCGGCUAACUUCGUG